CGCUGAAUCUGUUACUUAUCCAUCGUGUCCUUCACCGCUCACCGUGAAUCACUGCUCGCGUCGGCCGCCGCUCUCAUUGUUGGCUGAUCCAUUGCAUAUACCUCACCAUAACUCGCUGCUCUCAUCGCGCACUACUCGCUUUACUGAUUGAUCGAUCUAUCACCUGCCGCUCAUGUCGCUCCACUGUUCGUAUCGCUUUUGCCUAUCGCUCGCAUCACCUGUCGAUCCGUUGCCUGCGCUCACGUAGUCUACUUGUCAUUCGCUAAUACUCC
rnacentral:lncRNA from 1 species